GAUGAACGCUGGCGGCGUGCCUAAUACAUGCAAGUCGAGCGGACAGACGCGGCUCUUGCUGCUUUCACGAUAGCGGCGGAGGGGUGUGUCACAUGUGUAUAACGUCCCUGUCAGACUGGUAUCACUUGGGGACACCGGCGCUUAUCCCGUAGGAUCUCUUGCAGCGCGUGGUGGGUUAGUAAGAGUCGGUUUUUCUGGCUCUUCUCGAUGGAUCUCCGCCGCAUUAGCUGGUUGGUAGGGUAACGGGCUAGCAAGGGUACGAUGCGUAGCCGACCUGUGGGAGUGAUCGGCCACAUUAGAGGUGAGACACGCACCAGACUCCUAAGGGAGGCAGCAGUAGGGAAUGGUACGCAAUGGGCGAAAGCCUGACGGAGCAACGGCGCGCGAGUGAUGAAGGUGUUCGGUUCGGAAAACCGUGUUACUGGGGAUGAACAAAUGUGUAAGGAACUGUGGAGGGCGUGACGGUACCGGAUCAGGAAGCAACGGCUAACUACGUG
rnacentral:rRNA from 1 species